GGGUUGUGAGGUUAAGCGACUAAGCGUACACGGUGGAUGCCCUGGCAGUCAGAGGCGAUGAAGGACGUGCUAAUCUGCGAAAAGCGCCGGCGAGGUGAUAUGAACCUUUGACCCGGCGAUGUCCGAAUGGGGAAACCCAGUGCAAUUCGUUGCACUAUCGUUAACUGAAUACAUAGGUUAACGAGGCGAACCGGGGGAACUGAAACAUCUAAGUACCCCGAGGAAAAGAAAUCAACCGAGAUUCCCCCAGUAGCGGCGAGCGAACGGGGAGCAGCCCAGAGUCUGAAUCAGCUUGUGUGUUAGUGGAAGCGUCUGGAAAGUCGCACGGUACAGGGUGACAGUCCCGUACACGAAAGCACACAGGUUGUGAACUCGAAGAGUAGGGCGGGACACGUGGUAUCCUGUCUGAAUAUGGGGGGACCAUCCUCCAAGGCUAAAUACUCCUGACUGACCGAUAGUGAACCAGUACCGUGAGGGAAAGGCGAAAAGAACCCCGGCGAGGGGAGUGAAAAAGAACCUGAAACCGUGUACGUACAAGCAGUGGGAGCACCUUCGUGGUGUGACUGCGUACCUUUUGUAUAAUGGGUCAGCGACUUAUAUUCUGUAGCAAGGUUAACCGUAUAGGGGAGCCGAAGGGAAACCGAGUCUUAACUGGGCGUUAAGUUGCAGGGUAUAGACCCGAAACCCGGUGAUCUAGCCAUGGGCAGGUUGAAGGUUGGGUAACACUAACUGGAGGACCGAACCGACUAAUGUUGAAAAAUUAGCGGAUGACUUGUGGCUGGGGGUGAAAGGCCAAUCAAACCGGGAGAUAGCUGGUUCUCCCCGAAAGCUAUUUAGGUAGCGCCUCGUGAACUCAUCUUCGGGGGUAGAGCACUGUUUCGGCUAGGGGGCCAUCCCGGCUUACCAACCCGAUGCAAACUACGAAUACCGAAGAAUGUUAUCACGGGAGACACACGGCGGGUGCUAACGUCCGUCGUGAAGAGGGAAACAACCCAGACCGCCAGCUAAGGUCCCAAAGUCAUGGUUAAGUGGGAAACGAUGUGGGAAGGCACAGACAGCCAGGAUGUUGGCUUAGAAGCAGCCAUCAUUUAAAGAAAGCGUAAUAGCUCACUGGUCGAGUCGGCCUGCGCGGAAGAUGUAACGGGGCUAAACCAUGCACCGAAGCUGCGGCAGCGACGCGUAUGCGUUGUUGGGUAGGGGAGCGUUCUGUAAGCCGUUGAAGGUGUGCUGUGAGGCAUGCUGGAGGUAUCAGAAGUGCGAAUGCUGACAUAAGUAACGAUAAAGCGGGUGAAAAGCCCGCUCGCCGGAAGAUCAAGGGUUCCUGUCCAACGUUAAUCGGGGCAGGGUGAGUCGACCCCUAAGGCGAGGCCGAAAGGCGUAGUCGAUGGGAAACAGGUUAAUAUUCCUGUACUUGGUGUUACUGCGAAGGGGGGACGGAGAAGGCUAUGUUAGCCGGGCGACGGUUGUCCCGGUUUAAGCAUGUAGGCGGAGGUUCCAGGUAAAUCCGGUACCUUUUAACGCUGAGGUGUGAUGACGAGGCACUACGGUGCUGAAGUAACAAAUGCCCUGCUUCCAGGAAAAGCCUCUAAGCAUCAGGUAACACGAAAUCGUACCCCAAACCGACACAGGUGGUCAGGUAGAGAAUACCAAGGCGCUUGAGAGAACUCGGGUGAAGGAACUAGGCAAAAUGGUGCCGUAACUUCGGGAGAAGGCACGCUGAUAUGUAGGUGAAGCCCCUGCGGGUGGAGCUGAAAUCAGUCGAAGAUACCAGCUGGCUGCAACUGUUUAUUAAAAACACAGCACUGUGCAAACACGAAAGUGGACGUAUACGGUGUGACGCCUGCCCGGUGCCGGAAGGUUAAUUGAUGGGGUUAGCGGCAACGCGAAGCUCUUGAUCGAAGCCCCGGUAAACGGCGGCCGUAACUAUAACGGUCCUAAGGUAGCGAAAUUCCUUGUCGGGUAAGUUCCGACCUGCACGAAUGGCGUAAUGAUGGCCAGGCUGUCUCCACCCGAGACUCAGUGAAAUUGAACUCGCUGUGAAGAUGCAGUGUACCCGCGGCAAGACGGAAAGACCCCGUGAACCUUUACUAUAGCUUGACACUGAACACUGGUCCUUGAUGUGUAGGAUAGGUGGGAGGCUUUGAAGCGUGGACGCCAGUCUGCGUGGAGCCGUCCUUGAAAUACCACCCUUUAAUGGCUGGUGUUCUAACGUAGACCCGUAAUCCGGGUUGCGGACAGUGUCUGGUGGGUAGUUUGACUGGGGCGGUCUCCUCCCAAAGAGUAACGGAGGAGCACGAAGGUUAGCUAAUCCUGGUCGGACAUCAGGAGGUUAGUGCAAUGGCAUAAGCUAGCUUGACUGCGAGAGUGACGGCUCGAGCAGGUGCGAAAGCAGGUCAUAGUGAUCCGGUGGUUCUGAAUGGAAGGGCCAUCGCUCAACGGAUAAAAGGUACUCCGGGGAUAACAGGCUGAUACCGCCCAAGAGUUCAUAUCGACGGCGGUGUUUGGCACCUCGAUGUCGGCUCAUCACAUCCUGGGGCUGAAGUAGGUCCCAAGGGUAUGGCUGUUCGCCAUUUAAAGUGGUACGCGAGCUGGGUUUAGAACGUCGUGAGACAGUUCGGUCCCUAUCUGCCGUGGGCGCUGGAGAAUUGAGGGGGGCUGCUCCUAGUACGAGAGGACCGGAGUGGACGCAUCACUGGUGUUCGGGUUGUCAUGCCAAUGGCACUGCCCGGUAGCUAAAUGCGGAAAAGAUAAGUGCUGAAAGCAUCUAAGCACGAAACUUGCCCCGAGAUGAGUUCUCCCUGACCCUUUAAGGGUCCUGAAGGAACGUUGAAGACGACGACGUUGAUAGGUCGGGUGUGUAAGCGCAGCGAUGCGUUGAGCUAACCGAUACUAAUGAACCGUGAGGCUUAACCUUACAACGCCGAAGCUGUU
rnacentral:rRNA from 1 species